rnacentral:rRNA from 1 species
CCCUUAGAUGUCCUGGGCCGCACGCGCGCUACACUGACGGAGCCAGCGAGCUUACCCCUUUGCCGAAAGGCAUGGGAAAUCUUUUGAAUCUCCGUCGUGCUGGGGAUAGAUCAUUGCAAUUAUUGAUCUUGAACGAGGAAUUCCUAGUAAGCGCAAGUCAUCAACUUGCGUUGAUUACGUCCCUGCCCUUUGUACACACCGCCCGUCGCUCCUACCGAUUGGGUGAGCCGAUGAAACUCUCGGAUGUAGGCUAUUCAUAGCCCGCAGAAGAGAUUUGAAUCGUAGCGCUUAGAGGAAGGAGAAGUCGUAACA